CGCUGGCGGCGUGCUUAACACAUGCAAGUCGAACGGAAAGGCCCUGCUUUUGUGGGGUGCUCGAGUGGCGAACGGGUGAGUAACACGUGAGUAACCUGCCCUUGACUUUGGGAUAACUUCAGGAAACUGGGGCUAAUACCGGAUAGGAGCUCCUGCUGCAUGGUGGGGGUUGGAAAGUUUCGGCGGUUGGGGAUGGACUCGCGGCUUAUCAGCUUGUUGGUGGGGUAGUGGCUUACCAAGGCUUUGACGGGUAGCCGGCCUGAGAGGGUGACCGGCCACAUUGGGACUGAG
rnacentral:rRNA from 13 species